rnacentral:rRNA from 1 species
UACGUAGGGUGCGAGCGUUAAUCGGAAUUACUGGGCGUAAAGCGUGCGUAGGUGGUUCGUUAAGUUCGUUGUGAAAGCCCCGGGCUCAACCUGGGAACUGCAAUGGAAACUGGCGGGCUUGAGUGUGGCAGAGGGGGGUGGAAUUCCGCGUGUAGCAGUGAAAUGCGUAGAGAUGCGGAGGAACACCGAUGGCGAAGGCAGCCCCCUGGGCCAACACUGACGCUCAGGCACGAAAGCGUGGGGAGCAAACAGG